rnacentral:rRNA from 1 species
ACUUAUAUUCUGUAGCAAGGUUAACCGAAUAGGGGAGCCGAAGGGAAACCGAGUCUUAACUGGGCGUUAAGUUGCAGGGUAUAGACCCGAAACCCGGUGAUCUAGCCAUGGGCAGGUUGAAGGUUGGGUAACACUAACUGGAGGACCGAACCGACUAAUGUUGAAAAAUUAGCGGAUGACUUGUGGCUGGGGGUGAAAGGCCAAUCAAACCGGGAGAUAGCUGGUUCUCCCCGAAAGCUAUUUAGGUAGCGCCUCGUGAAUUCAUCUCCGGGGGUAGAGCACUGUUUCGGCAAGGGGGUCAUCCCGACUUACCAACCCGAUGCAAACUGCGAAUACCGGAGAAUGUUAUCACGGGAGACACACGGCGGGUGCUAACGUCCGUCGUGAAGAGGGAAACAACCCAGACCGCCAGCUAAGGUCCCAAAGUCAUGGUUAAGUGGGAAACGAUGUGGGAAGGCCCAGACAGCCAGGAUGUUGGCUUAGAAGCAGCCAUCAUUUAAAGAAAGCGUAAUAGCUCACUGGUCGAGUCGGCCUGCGCGGAAGAUGUAACGGGGCUAAACCAUGCACCGAAGCUGCGGCAGCGACGCUUAUGCGUUGUUGGGUAGGGGAGCGUUCUGUAAGCCUGUGAAGGUGUGCUGUGAGGCAUGCUGGAGGUAUCAGAAGUGCGAAUGCUGACAUAAGUAACGAUAAAGCGGGUGAAAAGCCCGCUCGCCGGAAGACCAAGGGUUCCUGUCCAACGUUAAUCGGGGCAGGGUGAGUCGACCCCUAAGGCGAGGCCGAAAGGCGUAGUCGAUGGGAAACAGGUUAAUAUUCCUGUACUUGGUGUUACUGCGAAGGGGGGACGGAGAAGGCUAUGUUGGCCGGGCGACGGUUGUCCCGGUUUAAG